ACGGGCCCCGCACAAGCAGCGGAGCGUGUGGUUUAAUUCGAUGCUACACGAAGAACCUUACCAGGGUUUGACAUACAAGUGGUAGAGAAGCGAAAGCGGACCGACCCUUCGGGGAGCUUGUACAGGUGCUGCAUGGCUGUCGUCAGCUCGUGUCGUGAGAUGUUGGGUUAAGUCCCGCAACGAGCGCAACCCUUGCCAUUAGUUGCUACGAAAGGGCACUCUAAUGGGACUGCCGGUGACAAACCGGAGGAAGGUGGGGAUGACGUCAAGUCCUCAUGGCCCUUAUAGGUGGGGCUACACACGUCAUACAAUGGCCGGUACAGAGGGUAGCCAACCCGCGAGGGGGAGCCAAUCCCACAAAGCCGGUCGUAGUCCGGAUCGCAGUCUGCAACUCGACUGCGUGAAGUCGGAAUCGCUAGUAAUCGCGGAUCAGCAUGUCGCGGUGAAUACGUUCCCGGGUCUU
rnacentral:rRNA from 1 species